GACGAACGCUGGCGGCGUGCCUAAUACAUGCAAGUCGAACGCAGUGGGGACGGGUGAGUAACACGUGGGUAACCUCCCAUCAGAGGGGAUAACACUUGGAAACAGGUGCUAAACCGAUACUGAUGGAUGGACCCGCGGUGCAUUAGCUAGUUGGUGGGGUAAAGGCCUACCAAGGCCACGAUCCGUAACGGGUCUGAGAGGGUGAUCAGGCACACUGGAACUGAGACACGGUCCAGACUCCUACGGGAGGCAGCAGUGGGGAAUAUUGGGCAAUGGGCGAAAGCCUGAUCCAGCCAUGCCGCGUGUGUGAAGAAGGUCUUCGGAUUGUAAAGCUCUUUUAGUUGGGAGGCGGUACCAACACAAAAAGCAACGGCUAACUUCGUGCCAGCCGCCGCGGUAAUAC
rnacentral:rRNA from 1 species